rnacentral:rRNA from 1 species
GACGAACGCUGGCGGCGUGCUUAACACAUGCAAGUCGAACGAGACGAUUGAAAGCUUGCUUUCGAAAGUCGAGUGGCAAACGGGUGAGUAACGCGUAGACAACCUGCCUUUGAGAUGGGGACAACAGUUCGAAAGGACUGCUAAUACCGAAUGUUGUAUAUUUUCCACAUGGAAGAUAUAUUAAAGAUGGCCUCUAUUUAUAAGCUAUCGCUCAAAGAUGGGUCUUGGUCUGAUUAGCUGGUUGGUGGGGUAACGGCCUACCAAGGCGACGAUCAGUAGCCGGUCUGAGAGGAUGAACGGCCACAUUGGGACUGAGACACGGCCCAGGCUCCUACGGGAGGCAGCAGUGGGGAAUCUUCCACAAUGGACGAAAGUCUGAUGGAGCAACGCCGCGUGAGUGAAGAAGGGUUUCGGCUCGUAAAGCUCUGUUGUCGGGGACGAAUGUGCAGUAUUUGAAUAAAGUACUGCAAUGACGGUACCUGACGAGGAAGCCACGGCUAACUACGUGCCAGCAGCCGCGGUAA